UCCCUGGUGGUCCAGUGGAAAAGACUCUGUGCUCCCAAUGCAGGGGCCCAGGUUCCGUCCCUGGUCAGGGAA
rnacentral:tRNA from 1 species